AUUGAACGCUGGCGGCAGGCCUAACACAUGCAAGUCGAACGAGUGGCGGACGGGUGAGUAAUUUCUGGGAAACUGCCCGAUGGAGGGGGAUAACUACUGGAAACGGUAGCUAAUACCGCAUACCAUCGGAUGUGCCCAGAUGGGAUUAGCUAGUAGGUGGGGUAACGGCUCACCUAGGCGACGAUCCCUAGCUGGUCUGAGAGGAGGACCAGCCACAAUGGAACUGAGAAACGGUCCAGACUCCGACGGGAGGCAGAAGUGGGGAAUAUUGCACAAUGGGCGCAAGCCUGAUGCAGCCAUGCCGCGUGUAUGAAGAAGGCCUUCGGGUUGUAAAGUACUUUCAGCGAGGAGGCGUUACCCGCAGAAGAAGCACCGGCUAACUCCGUGCCAGCAGCCGCGGUAAUUC
rnacentral:rRNA from 1 species